rnacentral:rRNA from 1 species
AACGAACGCUGGCGGCAUGCCUAACACAUGCAAGUCGAACGAGACCUUCGGGUCUAGUGGCGCACGGGUGCGUAACACGUGGGAAUUUGCCUCGGGGUAUGGAAUAACUCAGGGAAACUUGAGCUAAUACCAUAUAAUGUCUUCGGACCAAAGAUUUAUCGCCCUGAGAUAAGCCCGCGUAGGAUUAGCUAGUUGGUGGGUAAAGGCUCACCAAGGCGACGAUCCUUAGCUGGUCUGAGAGGAUGAUCAGCCACACUGGGACUGAGACACGGCCCAGACUCCUACGGGAGGCGAGCAGGUAGGGGAA